AGGGGACCCUCAAAGCAGCGUCCUGGACCCCAACUGGAGUGUCUGGACAACAUCCCGACGGAGUUCUGAGGAGGACCCUGUUUCUGCGACACCAAGGCAGAGGACUCAAGUGGGUUCCAGCAAAGAAUGUGAAGCCCUACUAUGCAUCGAAGCCUGCUGACGCCCCCACAUCAGCCAGUACUUCCGCAAGUACAAGCCAAGAAGCAAGCACGCAGACCUGAUGAGAAAGUGAUCUGCCAGAAACAGCUCAAGAAAAGAAUGGAGUUUUAUCGUU